AUGCUCAUGCAAAGUAUCUUGGGAUUUGUCCCAGGAGGCUCUGCAAGCUGGCAUGGUUCUUACGUAAGACGGACUGGGAAGAAGAGGCACCGCACACACAAUAAAUGCUUGUGCAACCCGAUAACAUGGACAAGAUCCUUGGAACGAGAUUUGAAUCCCCUAAGCUUGGCCCCAUGUAAGCCACCCCGAGUCCCUUUGGGGAGACGGAGACAAGGUUGA
rnacentral:lncRNA from 1 species